UAUACUUAAACCACUAAAUACGCUUUUUCUUUCUCUCACCUUUUUUAGAUUUUUCUCUUAUAUAAUUACCGUAUUUCAUAAAAGCUUCUCAAUACACGUUCUUUCUCUUUCUAUUUUGAUACACUCCAAUCUAUUCCCCCAUUCUCUGUGAACACGCAUCAAAACUCCUCUCACGCAAAUCGCUUCCUUCUUCCUCAUUCUCAGUCUGAACCCUAAUUUCAAGCCAUAUGAAGAAUCACGAGGGACGAAGAUGAAGACCAUAUGAAGAUGAAGUACAAGAUUAGUUGUAAUUCGAGCCCAAGAAACCCAAGAACUUUUUGGGAAUUCCAGUUAAAUGAAAUUUUGCAGCAGUUUCCUCUUUAGAAAAUUUUGGUCUCGAUUUGCUUCAAUCAGCGCCCUCUUCUCUUCUGCUUCCCUGUGAAUUACAACCAUAUUGGAGACAGUGAAUUUGAGCCAGAUGAGAUAGUAUGAGGGACAAAGAUCUGCUGAGUUUAUGGUUUCUGCGAUGAAAUUAGUUGUUGGUUCUUGGUUUUUAUGUUGUAUUUCAUUGUAUUCAUUGUCUUUUUUUCAUUGUAAUUUAAUGUAUCUCGCUGUGUUUUCAUGUAUUUCAUUGUAUUCAUUGUCUUUUUUUUUAUUUUAAUCAAUGUAUCUUGUUGCAUUUCAUGUAUUUUAUUGUAUUUACUAUCUUUUUUCAUUGUAUUUCAAUGUAUCCCGCUAUAUUAUAUCCAUUUCAUUGUAUUCACUGUCUUGCUAUAUGCCAUGAAUGUAUUCAUAUUUUUUUAAUAUAAUCAAUAUAUU
rnacentral:lncRNA from 1 species